rnacentral:rRNA from 1 species
UGAGUUUGAUCCUGGCUCAGGAUGAACGUUGGCGGCGUGCCUAAUACAUGCAAGUCGAACGAUAAGGCGCCCUUCGGGGUGCUGGAGAGUGGCGCACGGGUGAGUAACACGUAACUGAUCUGCCCUUUAGACUGGGAUAACCUUUGGAAACAGAGGCUAAUACCGGAUGAAUUCGCGGUAGUUAGAGAGCCGUGAGAAAAGGUUUAGGCGCUAAGGGAUGAGGUUGCGGACCAUCAGCUAGUUGGUGAGGUAAAGGCUUACCAAGGCGAUGACGGUUAGGGGACCUGAGAGGGUGGCCCCCCACACUGGGACUGAGACACGGCC